GGUCCUUGCCCUCAAGGAGCUCACAGUCUAUUGAGUUGCCUUUCUAACUUUCCCACUAGAUUGUAAGCUCCUGGAGGGCAGGCACU
rnacentral:pre_miRNA from 11 species